GGGCAGGGUGAGUCGACCCCUAAGGCGAGGCCGAAAGGCGUAGUCGAUGGGAAACAGGUUAAUAUUCCUGUACUUGGUGUUACUGCGAAGGGGGGACGGAGAAGGCUAUGUUGGCCGGGCGACGGUUGUCCCGGUUUAAGCGUGUAGGCUGGUUUUCCAGGCAAAUCCGGAAAAUCAAGGCUGAGGCGUGAUGACGAGGCACUACGGUGCUGAAGCAACAAAUGCCCUGCUUCCAGGAAAAGCCUCUAAGCAUCAGGUAACAUUAAAUCGUACCCCAAACCGACACAGGUGGUCAGGUAGAGAAUACCAAGGCGCUUGAGAGAACUCGGGUGAAGGAACUAGGCAAAAUGGUGCCGUAACUUCGGGAGAAGGCACGCUGAUAUGUAGGUGAAGUCCCUCGCGGAUGGAGCUGAAAUCAGUCGAAGAUACCAGCUGGCUGCAACUGUUUAUUAAAAACACAGCACUGUGCAAACACGAAAGUGGACGUAUACGGUGUGACGCCUGCCCGGUGCCGGAAGGUUAAUUGAUGGGGUUAGCGGUAACGCGAAGCUCUUGAUCGAAGCCCCGGUAAACGGCGGCCGUAACUAUAACGGUCCUAAGGUAGCGAAAUUCCUUGUCGGGUAAGUUCCGACCUGCACGAAUGGCGUAAUGAUGGCCAGGCUGUCUCCACCCGAGACUCAGUGAAAUUGAACUCGCUGUGAAGAUGCAGUGUACCCGCGGCAAGACGGAAAGACCCCGUGAACCUUUACUAUAGCUUGACACUGAACAUUGAGCCUUGAUGUGUAGGAUAGGUGGGAGGCUUUGAAGUGUGGACGCCAGUCUGCAUGGAGCCGACCUUGAAAUACCACCCUUUAAUGUUUGAUGUUCUAACGUUGACCCGUGAUCCGGGUUACGGACAGUGUCUGGUGGGUAGUUUGACUGGGGCGGUCUCCUCCUAAAGAGUAACGGAGGAGCACGAAGGUUGGCUAAUCCUGGUCGGACAUCAGGAGGUUAGUGCAAUGGCAUAAGCCAGCUUGACUGCGAGCGUGACGGCGCGAGCAGGUGCGAAAGCAGGUCAUAGUGAUCCGGUGGUUCUGAAUGGAAGGGCCAUCGCUCAACGGAUAAAAGGUACUCCGGGGAUAACAGGCUGAUACCGCCCAAGAGUUCAUAUCGACGGCGGUGUUUGGCACCUCGAUGUCGGCUCAUCACAUCCUGGGGCUGAAGUAGGUCCCAAGGGUAUGGCUGUUCGCCAUUUAAAGUGGUACGCGAGCUGGGUUUAGAACGUCGUGAGACAGUUCGGUCCCUAUCUGCCGUGGGCGCUGGAGAACUGAGGGGGGCUGCUCCUAGUACGAGAGGACCGGAGUGGACGCAUCACUGGUGUUCGGGUUGUCAUGCCAAUGGCACUGCCCGGUAGCUAAAUGCGGAAGAGAUAAGUGCUGAAAGCAUCUAAGCACGAAACUUGCCCCGAGAUGAGUUCUCCCUGACUCCUUGAGAGUCCUGAAGGAACGUUGAAGACGACGACGUUGAUAGGCCGGGUGUGUAAGCGCAGCGAUGCGUUGAGCUAACCGGUACUAAUGAACCGUGAGG
rnacentral:rRNA from 1 species